rnacentral:lncRNA from 1 species
GCAGCCCGAGGAAAGCUGAAUCAUCCGCCCAUCCAGUCCUCUUCACCAACCUCUCAUGCCCGAGCCUCACUCGGCCUGGCGUCGCACAUCUCCCCUUGUCAUUUGUCGUUGCCUUACCACCGCCUGCUCCCUUCUGUCUUUCCCAUUCUCUCCCUAAUUCUGUUUGCUGUCGCACUUCUGCCUGUGCCGCGCCUUCAUCUGUGUCAUCGUUCCUUGACUUUGCCGCCACGUCAGUGCGACGUCAACUCGGCGCCGCAGCUUCGUCAGGCUACCAUCUUCCUCGAUUUUCUCAUCAUAUUCGUCAGUCUUUCCGAGUAUCACGAAUUUGCAUCAUGUCGGUCGAUAUCGAGCCGCAGGAGCUGGAUUUUGUCGCCCUUUUAACAUCGAAGUGUCGCGAACCUUGACUAUCAAGAACCCGAAAUCGACGCCUGUGGUCUUCAAAGUCAAGACGACGGCCCCUAAACAAUACUGCGUUCGUCCUAACGCCGGUCGCAUCCAGCCUGGCCAGGAUUUCGAUGUCACUGUUCUCUUGCAAGCGAUGAAGACAGACCCCCCCUCGAUGAGAAAUGUCGCGACAAGUUUCUCGUCCAGUCGGCAUCUAUCACCUCUGACAAAGAGUUUUCCAGUAUCGCUACAGUGCUCGACUCAACCGAUAAAAGUCACAUUCAAGAGCGGAAAAUCCGUGUUAACUGGCUAGCCCCUACCGCUAGUCAUGACCAAGAUACGACUCAGCUGCCAGCCGUUGUUACCCCUAAAAAACCGUCGAACGUCAAUGGGCGAUCCACUGAUACCCCUGCGCGGUCCUUAUCGUCCCCUAAGGAUUCUGCAAACUCGACUCCUGCCUCAGCUCCACCUCUCUCUUACGCGUCUGGCAAAAUAAAAGAUAACAGCAAGUUAGAUGAAAACAAGUCGACCAUUUCCCAUGCAACCACGACGGUUUCUGACUCGGCAACAUUGCCUACGAAGAGCUGAAAUCUAGCUCGCUCAGGCCGAGGCCCAGAUGCGAUGCUCAAAGAUAGCGGGCUUCGCCAGCGCAAUUCCAAACCGGCAGUUGAACAGAUAACAAGGGCUGAUAAUCAGGCCUCCCAAUCUGUUAAGCAGG